rnacentral:pre_miRNA from 1 species
AAUAAGUGCAGUUUUGCACUAUUCAUCUUCAACGUUUGACCGUCCGUCUUAUUUGAAAAUUUUUUAUGAUUGGUAUUUUUAUUGCUAUUAGAUGAUAAAACAUGAAUAGUACUUUAUGUGUGACUAAAUGUUUUUAAUUUUUUCAUAAAUUUUUUAAAUAAGACGGACGGUCAAACGUUGAACGUGAAUAGUGCAAAACUGCACUUAUU